rnacentral:rRNA from 1 species
CAGCCGCCACGGGAAUACGUAGGGUGCAAGCGUUAAUCGGAAUUACUGGGCGUAAAGCGUGCGCAGGCGGUUAUAUAAGACAGAUGUGAAAUCCCCGGGCUCAACCUGGGAACUGCAUUUGUGACUGUAUAGCUAGAGUACGGCAGAGGGGGAUGGAAUUCCGCGUGUAGCAGUGAAAUGCGUAGAUAUGCGGAGGAACACCGAUGGCGAAGGCAAUCCCCUGGGCCUGUACUGACGCUCAUGCACGAAAGCGUGGGGAGCAAACAGGAUUAGAUACCCCGUGUAGUCCCUGUCUCUUAUA